rnacentral:rRNA from 1 species
AUUGAACGCUGGCGGCAUGCUUUACACAUGCAAGUCGAACGGUAACAGGCCGCAAGGUGCUGACGAGUGGCGAACGGGUGAGUAAUGCAUCGGAACGUGCCCAGUCGUGGGGGAUAACGCAGCGAAAGCUGUGCUAAUACCGCAUACGAUCUAUGGAUGAAAGCGGGGGACCGUAAGGCCUCGCGCGAGUGGAGCGGCCGAUGUCAGAUUAGGUAGUUGGUGGGGUAAAGGCCUACCAAGCCGACGAUCUGUAGCUGGUCUGAGAGGACGACCAGCCACACUGGGACUGAGACACGGCCCAGACUCCUACGGGAGGCAGCAGUGGGGAAUUUUGGACAAUGGGCGCAAGCCUGAUCCAGCAAUGCCGCGUGCAGGAAGAAGGCCUUCGGGUUGUAAACUGCUUUUGUACGGAACGAAACGGCCUGGGUUAAUACCCUGGGCUAAUGACGGUACCGUAAGAAUAAGCACCGGCUAACUACGUGCCAGCCGCCGCAGUAAUAC